rnacentral:rRNA from 1 species
AACCGGGGGAACUGAAACAUCUAAGUACCCCGAGGAAAAGAAAUCAACCGAGAUUCCCCCAGUAGCGGCGAGCGAACGGGGAGCAGCCCAGAGCCUGAAUCAGUGUGUGUGUUAGUGGAAGCGUCUGGAAAGGCGCGCGAUACAGGGUGACAGCCCCGUACACAAAAAUGCACAUGCUGUGAGCUCGAUGAGUAGGGCGGGACACGUGGUAUCCUGUCUGAAUAUGGGGGGACCAUCCUCCAAGGCUAAAUACUCCUGACUGACCGAUAGUGAACCAGUACCGUGAGGGAAAGGCGAAAAGAACCCCGGCGAGGGGAGUGAAAAAGAACCUGAAACCGUGUACGUACAAGCAGUGGGAGCACGCUUAGGCGUGUGACUGCGUACCUUUUGUAUAAUGGGUCAGCGACUUAUAUUCUGUAGCAAGGUUAACCGAAUAGGGGAGCCGAAGGGAAACCGAGUCUUAACUGGGCGUUAAGUUGCAGGGUAUAGACCCGAAACCCGGUGAUCUAGCCAUGGGCAGGUUGAAGGUUGGGUAACACUAACUGGAGGACCGAACCGACUAAUGUUGAAAAAUUAGCGGAUGACUUGUGGCUGGGGGUGAAAGGCCAAUCAAACCGGGAGAUAGCUGGUUCUCCCCGAAAGCUAUUUAGGUAGCGCCUCGUGAAUUCAUCUCCGGGGGUAGAGCACUGUUUCGGCAAGGGGGUCAUCCCGACUUACCAACCCGAUGCAAACUGCGAAUACCGGAGAAUGUUAUCACGGGAGACACACGGCGGGUGCUAACGUCCGUCGUGAAGAGGGAAACAACCCAGACCGCCAGCUAAGGUCCCAAAGUCAUGGUUAAGUGGGAAACGAUGUGGGAAGGCCCAGACAGCCAGGAUGUUGGCUUAGAAGCAGCCAUCAUUUAAAGAAAGCGUAAUAGCUCACUGGUCGAGUCGGCCUGCGCGGAAGAUGUAACGGGGCUAAACCAUGCACCGAAGCUGCGGCAGCGACGCUUAUGCGUUGUUGGGUAGGGGAGCGUUCUGUAAGCCUGUGAAGGUGUGCUGUGAGGCAUGCUGGAGGUAUCAGAAGUGCGAAUGCUGACAUAAGUAACGAUAAAGCGGGUGAAAAGCCCGCUCGCCGGAAGACCAAGGGUUCCUGUCCAACGUUAAUCGGGGCAGGGUGAGUCGACCCCUAAGGCGAGGCCGAAAGGCGUAGUCGAUGGGAAACAGGUUAAUAUUCCUGUACUUGGUGUUACUGCGAAGGGGGGACGGAGAAGGCUAUGUUGGCCGGGCGACGGUUGUCCCGGUUUAAGCGUGUAGGCUGGUUUUCCAGGCAAAUCCGGAAAAUCAAGGCUGAGGCGUGAUGACGAGGCACUACGGUGCUGAAGCAACAAAUGCCCUGCUUCCAGGAAAAGCCUCUAAGCAUCAGGUAACAUCAAAUCGUACCCCAAACCGACACAGGUGGUCAGGUAGAGAAUACCAAGGCGCUUGAGAGAACUCGGGUGAAGGAACUAGGCAAAAUGGUGCCGUAACUUCGGGAGAAGGCACGCUGAUAUGUAGGUGAAGUCCCUCGCGGAUGGAGCUGAAAUCAGUCGAAGAUACCAGCUGGCUGCAACUGUUUAUUAAAAACACAGCACUGUGCAAACACGAAAGUGGACGUAUACGGUGUGACGCCUGCCCGGUGCCGGAAGGUUAAUUGAUGGGGUCAGCGCAAGCGAAGCUCUUGAUCGAAGCCCCGGUAAACGGCGGCCGUAACUAUAACGGUCCUAAGGUAGCGAAAUUCCUUGUCGGGUAAGUUCCGACCUGCACGAAUGGCGUAAUGAUGGCCAGGCUGUCUCCACCCGAGACUCAGUGAAAUUGAACUCGCUGUGAAGAUGCAGUGUACCCGCGGCAAGACGGAAAGACCCCGUGAACCUUUACUAUAGCUUGACACUGAACAUUGAGCCUUGAUGUGUAGGAUAGGUGGGAGGCUUAGAAGUGUGGACGCCAGUCUGCAUGGAGCCGACCUUGAAAUACCACCCUUUAAUGUUUGAUGUUCUAACGUUGACCCGUAAUCCGGGUUGCGGACAGUGUCUGGUGGGUAGUUUGACUGGGGCGGUCUCCUCCUAAAGAGUAACGGAGGAGCACGAAGGUUGGCUAAUCCUGGUCGGACAUCAGGAGGUUAGUGCAAUGGCAUAAGCCAGCUUGACUGCGAGCGUGACGGCGCGAGCAGGUGCGAAAGCAGGUCAUAGUGAUCCGGUGGUUCUGAAUGGAAGGGCCAUCGCUCAACGGAUAAAAGGUACUCCGGGGAUAACAGGCUGAUACCGCCCAAGAGUUCAUAUCGACGGCGGUGUUUGGCACCUCGAUGUCGGCUCAUCACAUCCUGGGGCUGAAGUAGGUCCCAAGGGUAUGGCUGUUCGCCAUUUAAAGUGGUACGCGAGCUGGGUUUAGAACGUCGUGAGACAGUUCGGUCCCUAUCUGCCGUGGGCGCUGGAGAACUGAGGGGGGCUGCUCCUAGUACGAGAGGACCGGAGUGGACGCAUCACUGGUGUUCGGGUUGUCAUGCCAAUGGCACUGCCCGGUAGCUAAAUGCGGAAGAGAUAAGUGCUGAAAGCAUCUAAGCACGAAACUUGCC